rnacentral:rRNA from 1 species
AGGGCGCACGGUGGAUGCCUUGGCACUAGAAGCCGAUGAAGGACGUUACUAACGACGAUAUGCUUUGGGGAGCUGUAAGUAAGCUUUGAUCCAGAGAUUUCCGAAUGGGGAAACCCAGCAUGAGUUAUGUCAUGUUAUCGAUAUGUGAAUACAUAGCAUAUCAGAAGGCACACCCGGAGAACUGAAACAUCUUAGUACCCGGAGGAAGAGAAAGAAAAUUCGAUUCCCUUAGUAGCGGCGAGCGAAACGGGAAGAGCCCAAACCAACAAGCUUGCUUGUUGGGGUUGUAGGACACUCUAUACGGAGUUACAAAGGACGACAUUAGACGAAUCAUCUGGAAAGAUGAAUCAAAGAAGGUAAUAAUCCUGUAGUCGAAAAUGUUGUCUCUCUUGAGUGGAUCCUGAGUACGACGGAGCACGUGAAAUUCCGUCGGAAUCUGGGAGGACCAUCUCCUAAGGCUAAAUACUCUCUAGUGACCGAUAGUGAACCAGUACCGUGAGGGAAAGGUGAAAAGCACCCCGGAAGGGGAGUGAAAUAGAACCUGAAACCGUGUGCUUACAAGUAGUCAGAACCCGUUAAUGGGUGAUGGCGUGCCUUUUGUAGAAUGAACCGGCGAGUUACGAUUUGAUGCAAGGUUAAGCAGUAAAUGUGGAGCCGUAGCGAAAAGCGAGUCUGAAUAGGGCGUUUAGUAUUUGGUCGUAGACCCGAAACCAGGUGAUCUACCCUUGGUCAGGUUGAAGUUCAGGUAACACUGAAUGGAGGACCGAACCGACUUACGUUGAAAAGUGAGCGGAUGAACUGAGGGUAGCGGAGAAAUUCCAAUCGAACCUGGAGAUAGCUGGUUCUCUCCGAAAUAGCUUUAGGGCUAGCCUCAAGUGAUGAUUAUUGGAGGUAGAGCACUGUUUGGACGAGGGGCCCCUCUCGGGUUACCGAAUUCAGACAAACUCCGAAUGCCAAUUAAUUUAACUUGGGAGUCAGAACAUGGGUGAUAAGGUCCGUGUUCGAAAGGGAAACAGCCCAGACCACCAGCUAAGGUCCCAAAAUAUAUGUUAAGUGGAAAAGGAUGUGGCGUUGCCCAGACAACUAGGAUGUUGGCUUAGAAGCAGCCAUCAUUUAAAGAGUGCGUAAUAGCUCACUAGUCGAGUGACACUGCGCCGAAAAUGUACCGGGGCUAAACAUAUUACCGAAGCUGUGGAUUGUCCUUUGGACAAUGGUAGGAGAGCGUUCUAAGGGCGUUGAAGCAUGAUCGUAAGGACAUGUGGAGCGCUUAGAAGUGAGAAUGCCGGUGUGAGUAGCGAAAGACGGGUGAGAAUCCCGUCCACCGAUUGACUAAGGUUUCCAGAGGAAGGCUCGUCCGCUCUGGGUUAGUCGGGUCCUAAGCUGAGGCCGACAGGCGUAGGCGAUGGAUAACAGGUUGAUAUUCCUGUACCACCUAUAAUCGUUUUAAUCGAUGGGGGGACGCAGUAGGAUAGGCGAAGCGUGCGAUUGGAUUGCACGUCUAAGCAGUAAGGCUGAGUAUUAGGCAAAUCCGGUACUCAUUAAGGCUGAGCUGUGAUGGGGAGAAGACAUUGUGUCUUCGAGUCGUUGAUUUCACACUGCCGAGAAAAGCCUCUAGAUAGAAAAUAGGUGCCCGUACCGCAAACCGACACAGGUAGUCAAGAUGAGAAUUCUAAGGUGAGCGAGCGAACUCUCGUUAAGGAACUCGGCAAAAUGACCCCGUAACUUCGGGAGAAGGGGUGCUCUUUAGGGUUAACGCCCAGAAGAGCCGCAGUGAAUAGGCCCAAGCGACUGUUUAUCAAAAACACAGGUCUCUGCUAAACCGUAAGGUGAUGUAUAGGGGCUGACGCCUGCCCGGUGCUGGAAGGUUAAGAGGAGUGGUUAGCUUCUGCGAAGCUACGAAUCGAAGCCCCAGUAAACGGCGGCCGUAACUAUAACGGUCCUAAGGUAGCGAAAUUCCUUGUCGGGUAAGUUCCGACCCGCACGAAAGGCGUAACGAUUUGGGCACUGU